UACGGGGGGGGGCAAGCGUUGUUCGGAUUCAUUGGGCGUAAAGGGUGCGUAGGCGGCGCGGUAAGUCGGGUGUGAAAUCUUGGAGCUUAACUCCGAAACUGCAUUCGAUACUGCCGUGCUUGAGGACUGGAGAGGAGACUGGAAUUUACGGUGUAGCGGUGAAAUGCGUAGAGAUCAUGAGGAAGACCAGUGGCGAAGGCGGGUCUCUGGACAGUUCCUGACACUGAGACACGAAGGCCAGGGGAGCAAACGGG
rnacentral:rRNA from 1 species